rnacentral:rRNA from 1 species
AAGGAAUAUUGGACAAUGGUCGCAAGACUGAUCCAGCCAUGCCGCGUGCAGGAUGAAUGCCCUAUGGGUUGUAAACUGCUUUUAUACGGGAAUAAACCCGGGUACGUGUACCCGGCUGAAUGUACCGUAAGAAUAAGGGUCGGCUAACUUCGUGCCAGCAGCCGCGGUAAGACGAAGGACCCAAGCGUUAUCCGGAUUCAUUGGGUUUAAAGGGUGCGUAGGCGGGUUGAUAAGUCAGUGGUGAAAGCCCAACGCUUAACGUUGGAACUGCCAUUGAUACUGUCGAUCUUGAAUGUGUUUGAUGUGGGCGGAAUAUGACAUGUAGCGGUGAAAUGCUUAGAUAUGUCAUAGAACACCGAUUGCGAAGGCAGCUCACAAAACCACUAUUGACGCUGAGGCACGAAAGCGUGGGGAUCAAAC